AGGUUGGCGAUUUGAAGGAGCUGCAGACACUAGACAUUUCUACCAAUCGUUUGCUAACUUUACCCGAGAGGCUUCACAUGUGCCUUUCUCUGCAGUACCUCACUGUGGACCGAAAUCGUCUAUGGUAUGUGCCGCGCCAUCUCUGCCAGCUGCCCAGCCUCAAUGAGCUCUCCAUGGCUGGAAACCGUCUUGCAUUUUUGCCACUUGAUUUAGGUCGAUCUCGAGAACUACAAUAUGUAUAUGUGGAUAACAACAUUCACCUGAAAGGCUUGCCAUCUUAUCUGUACAAUAAAGUCAUCGGGUGCAGUGGGUCAACCCUAUUCACAGUAGGAGGUGACUACAUGGAGAGUGACCACUAGGAGCGAGGACCAUUGGGGGCCCACUUGGAGACUGGCUGCCACAGCUUCAUGGCAUCUAUACUAUUUGCUAGCCUCAUGGAAAAGAAUGAUCUUUAUUUUUUCUGGGUUUUUCUUGUUAUUACAGGAGUAAAUGUCCUCAGUCUUCUACAUUGUAGCCAGAAAGAGAGGUUCAUCCCAUGUUAGAAUUUUAGAGAAUGGUAAUUGGCACAUAUACUUACUGAGGAGAACUUAAUGGUAAAAGUAAUCCUCUACAGGAUGUUUUCUC
rnacentral:sRNA from 1 species